rnacentral:rRNA from 1 species
GCGCCCGAUCUCUUCUGAUCUCGGAAGCUA